rnacentral:siRNA from 1 species
GAAGGAGAAUAUGCCUUUGAC